CCAGGACCCAAGGUUUCCCAGCAGAACAUUGCCCAGAGCAUCGCACUUCCUCCACCGGCAUGCUUUCUUCCCAUAGUGCAUCUCUUCCCAAGGCACUGGUACAUGCAGCAGUAAUGACUUACACGGAGUUUGACCUGCCGAUACUCACAUGCGUGGAGGAGGUGCUGGUGAAGGGCGCAUGAGCGGGCAGAGACGUGAGGUUCGGCAUCGAGGCGCAUGGGAUCUCGGAGCUGGAGACGGAGAGACUACCUCCGAGCACGGCGCUGGGCAAAGGGCCUGCUACGUCGCUGCUGCUGGGGUACGUCACUGUAACACACACAUUUAAAAAAAAGAAAAAGAAUAAA